CCUACUAUUUCUUGUCCCUGACAUAUUUCUGAUGCUGGCAGGUUCCUACUAUUUCUUGCCCCUGACAUAUUUCUGAUGCUGGCAGGUUCCUACUAUUUCUUGCCCCUGACAUAUUUCUGAUGCUGGCAGGUUCCUACUAUUUCUUGCCCCUGACAUAUUUCUGAUGCUGGCAGGUUCCUACUAUUUCUUGCCCCUGACAUAUUUCUGAUGCUGGCAGGUUCCUACUAUUUCUUGCCCCUGACAUAUUUCUGAUGCUGGCAGGUUCCUACUAUUUCUUGCCCCUGACAUAUUUCUGAUGCUGGCAGGUUCCUACUAUUUCUUGCCCCUGACAUAUUUCUGAUGCUGGCAGGUUCCUACUAUUUCUUGCCCCUGACAUAUUUCUGAUGCUGGCAGGUUCCUACUAUUUCUUGCCCCUGACAUAUUU